AACGAACGCUGGCGGCAGGCUUAACACAUGCAAGUCGAGCGCCCCGCAAGGGGAGCGGCAGACGGGUGAGUAACGCGUGGGAAUCUACCCAUCUCUACGGAAUAACGCAUGGAAACGUGUGCUAAUACCGUAUACGUCCUUCGGGAGAAAGAUUUAUCGGAGAUGGAUGAGCCCGCGUUGGAUUAGCUAGUUGGUGGGGUAAAGGCAUACCAAGGCGACGAUCCAUAGCUGGUCUGAGAGGAUGAUCAGCCACACUGGGACUGAGACACGGCCCAGACUCCUACGGGAGGCAGCAGUGGAGAAUAUUGGACAAUGGGCGCAAGCCUGAUCCAGCCAUGCCGCGUGAGUGAUGAAGGCCCUAGGGUUGUAAAGCUCUUUCACCGGUGAAGAUAAUGACGGUAACCGGAGAAGAAGCCCCGGCUAACUUCGUGCCAGCCGCCGCCGUAAUAC
rnacentral:rRNA from 1 species